UAGUCCACGCCGUAAACGAUGGAUACUAGCUGUUCGAACUUCGGUUUGAGUGGCUAAGCGAAAGUGAUAAGUAUCCCACCUGGGGAGUACGUUCGCAAGAAUGAAACUCAAAGGAAUUGACGGGGGCCCGCACAAGCGGUGGAGCAUGUGGUUUAAUUCGAUGAUACGCGAGGAACCUUACCAGGGCUUAAAUGUAAGUUGCAUAGAUCAGAGAUGGUCUUUUCUUCGGACUACUUACAAGGUGCUGCAUGGUUGUCGUCAGCUCGUGCCGUGAGGUGUCAGGUUAAGUCCUAUAACGAGCGCAACCCCUGUUGUUAGUUGCCAGCGAUUCAAGUCGGGAACUCUAACAAGACUGCCGGUGCAAACCGUGAGGAAGGUGGGGAUGACGUCAAAUCAUCACGGCCCUUACGUCCUGGGCUACACACGUGGUACAAUGGUAGGUACAGAGAGCAGCCACUGCGUGAGCAGGAGCGAAUCUAUAAAACCUAUCACAGUUCGGAUCGGAGU
rnacentral:rRNA from 1 species